rnacentral:rRNA from 1 species
GUGGAUUAGGUACCCGGGUAGUCCACGCCGUAAACGAUGGGUACUAGGUGUAGGAGGUAUCGACUCCUUCUGUGCCGCAGUUAACACAAUAAGUACCCCGCCUGGGGAGUACGGUCGCAAGAUUAAAACUCAAAGGAAUUGACGGGGGCCCGCACAAGCAGCGGAGCAUGUGGUUUAAUUCGAAGCAACGCGAAGAACCUUACCUAGACUUGACAUCUCCUGAAUUACUCGUAAUAGAGGAAGCCCUUCGGGGCAGGAAGACAGGUGGUGCACGGUCGUCGCCAACU